GGUGGUUCUCGGGUGAUGUACCCCGGAAUCCAGCUCCCUCCUCUCUGGUUCCAGGUGCAUCACCCAAAAACCACA
rfam:Myotis brandtii contig311316, whole genome shotgun sequence.